UUUACUGAGGGGGUUAUAUAAGGGGUUACUAGAAGGGUUAAGGGCAGGUGGGUUUCAUAAUCAAUUAAUUUUGGUUGACUAGAUGUGUUAUUAAUGGCAGAUGGUUUACUAUAUAGUUUACUAGAGGGGGUUACUUAAGGGUUAUAUAAGGGGUUACUAGAGGUGUUACUUGAGGCAUUAUUUAAGGGGUUACAUAUUAGGGGUUACUUUUCAUGUUGCUAGGGAUUGUGGUUAUUUUAUUAUUUAUAAUAGUAUAUGUUUAGAAGGUUGUGUUACUUAUUUAGUUUUUUGUCUUUUAUUUGGUGAUUUAUUGUGUUGUAUCUUCUUUUGUGUAGGGGUGAUGAGAUGAUUGUCUGAUGUAGACCUACUGGUGUGUUUGAAUUAAUGAAAGUGUUGACUAAAGAUCGGUUGAAAGCUGUUUAUGCUGUUGGUUUUCAAAGUUAGCGUCACAUAAAGUUGAAUGAAUUUCCAAGGGGCAUGCUUCGAUGGUUGAGCAAAUGUUUUGAUCCUUCUAGUAGAUUAUUUAUACUCCAAGUGGGGAUCAAUUUCAAUUAACUGCAGCUGAUGUAUACGAUUUGUUUGGAAUCCUAAUGGGCAAAUUAGUUGUUCCAGUGACUGGUGCUCAUUCAGAGUUAAAGAAGUCUUGGAAUAUGAAGUAUGGUGGGACAAAGCAGCAGGUUACUGUGAAGCAGUUGUCUGAAAUGUUAACAUCUGAUCCACGAAUGAAAUCAGGAAAUUAUGAUUUUAAAAAAUGUUUUGUGAUGUAUUCUAUGAUUACAUUGCUAACACCAACCUCUAAUAGAUUGGCUGAUAUGAAGCUUGUUGAAGCUUUAGAAAAUGUGGACAUGAUUAGCGAAUAUAAUUGGUGUCAGUAUGUUCUUGAUGAUUUGGCUGACAAAAUGAAGAAAUAUAAUCCAAAGCAGAAGUAUGUUGUUGGGUGUAUCUUGUUGUUGCAAAUGUGUUAUUUCCAUGGGCUUCAAAAGACAGGGGGUACUGAUCCUUGUCCAAGUUCUUUGCCGUUGUUUAAACACUGGAGUAUUGAAGACUUCAGAAAUAAAUUAGUUGCUGAAAAUGGGAACUAUAGUGAUGGUGUUUUGGAUAAUGCUACCUAUCCAAUUACUGAAGUUGGUUCUAUUCCAGACUUGGAGCCUUAUAUUGAUGGAAGGGAGGAUGGAAAGGAGGAUGAAGAGGUAGAAGAGGAUGAUGGAAAGGAGGAACACACUAGUGGAAAAUAUGUCAUUUGUAACGGGUUAUUCGUAACGGGCAAAGCUAUGCCCGUUACAUUUAAUAUAUUUGUAACGGAUAAAAUACGCCCGUUACAAAUAAUAUAGUAUUCGUAACGGACAAAAUAUUGCCCGUUACAAAUAAUAUAGUAUUCGUAACGGACACCAUGUCCCCGUUACGAAUAGGUGGCCCAGCUAAUGAGAGCCAAAGAGGAGCCCAUUACUUUUUACUCUGUAUUAGGGUUUCACACUUCAUUGUCCUUAGCCGUCAAACCUCCUAUUUUUUCUCUCUCCUCCUCUAUCCUCUCUGCUCUUAAUUUUCUCACUCAAUCUCUCUCUCUUCUCCUGAUUCACCUCAAUCCAUUCACUCAAUCUCCUCCAUUUCACCACACUAAUUCCCAAAGUUCCCCUCUUUCUCUCUCCUCUAAAUUGCAUCAAUGGCGGAGGACCCAAAAAUUGUAUAUGAGGGUGAUGAUUCAGGGUCAAGAACAUCGCAAUGGGUGUUUAUAUCUCUUCAAUUUUUUCAAGCAAAUUAGAUUGGAGAAACCCGAUUAUUCUUCAAGAGAAAGCGAACAAAACCCUAGUUUUUUCCCCUAAUUUUACCGCCUAAAUAUCCCAUUUUUCUGCUCAUUCUAACCCUAAGAUUUUAAAGCUGAAUCGCCGCCCUCCUGUGUACGAUUCUGAUGAUGCAGUUCCUCAACGAUGUUCUCCUGGUUGUUAGAUAUGAAACCAGGGCAAAACAAAGAGAGGAAGACUGUUUUGUACCUGGUGUUUGAGUACAUGGACACUGAUCUUAAGAACUACAUCCGUAGUUUCCGUAAUACCGGGGAUACUGUCCCUCCUCUGAUCAUCAAGAGUUUGAUGUACCAACUGUGUAAAGAUGUUGCUUUUUGCCAUGGUCAUGGUGUCAUUCACAGAAAAGGAUUGCACAAGCCCGGAAUGCACUGCCUAAUGGAGAUGUGAAGGUCAAGGGUGAGCUAUAGGUUCUGAUAUCCGAGAAAAGUCAGAUUUUUUUACAGUUCUUACAAUACGUGUAACUUCAAGGUGUGUCUAUGAGUAUUAUAUUCGCUAAAAUGUUAGUAUAGGUGGCUAUUUAUACAAUGCGUGGAGGUUUUUGUAACCUAAUAGUCUCAUGACUCUCAACCUAUAUGUUAUAACAUGCGAAUUUGCAAUUACCUGUAUGUUGUAUAUCUUUUGGUGUCAAAUUGUCAAUAAUGCUAUAUAAUCUUCAAAUAUGCUCUUCUGUGUAUAAUGGCUUAUAUAUUUGUUUGGACUUGUCAAUGUAAUUAUGAAUGCCAUAUGUAAGCCUGAAACAAGAUGAAGAAUUAUCAGUGCACUUGGUUAUUCUCAUGAUUUAUACACAAGAUGAGACGGUCUUUCGAGAGCCUUUGAUUUUUUAUGUCCUGUUUGUUUGCUGAUGUUGUUGCUAUUGUUGUCGUUCUAAGUCUGUUUUUGGUUUUUUGUUUGGUAAUAAUCUAAAUUUAAUAGUUUGUGGUCUGGAAAAUAUUGAAGCUGAAUAGAAUCUUUGUUGGGUAUGUUGUUAUAGAAUCAUUGGUCUAGAUUAUAGGGUUUGUGAUCUUGUGCUUUUGAGCAUGGAUUGAGAGUUACUAAACUUUGGAUUUCUUAGUAGAUAUUUGAUGGUCACAAUGGCAUAUUAGCUGCUAUAUUUGCUAAGGAGCACCUGUUGAGCAAUGCUCUGAGUGCCGUUUCUGAAGGUUCUAGUAGGGAAGAGUGUGUGGCUUCAAGCACUUCCUUGUGCCCUGGUUGCUGGGUUUGUCAAAAGACUCAAAACUGAUAUUAAGUUCCAGCGGAAAGUACUGAUAUACUUCAUUGGAGAAGCUGAGGUGCAACAUAAUCAUCAUGCAGAGUGAUUACUUGGAAAUAGUAGGCUUGAACAAAUAUGCAGGAAGUUAGACAAUGAAAGAAGUACUUCAACUUUUACAAUGUCUGCUGCUGCUCUUAGUUGCUGCUGCCAGCUUUUGGUUUCUGCUGUUUUGCUACUAAUAAUGCUGCUCUUUGUUGCUACUGAUACUGCUGCAUUUGGAUGCUACUAUGAUUUGUUAUUUUCUAUGUUCGUUAUUUACUGAAAUUUAAUUAACAUAUUUAGCAUUACAAUAUUGUUGGUUUAUAAGCAGCUUUUCUGAUGUAAAUUGAAUUCGGUGUAUAUGCUAUGAUUGUAAAUAUAUUUGGAUUUGUUAUAAAUUAUUAUAAUAAUUUGGGUGGCAAAUGGAAAGAAGAAUAGGGGUAUUUGUAACUAGCACCUGAAAUGCUAGUUACAAAUGCCCCUAAUUUUUUGUCUUAUUCGGAGAUUAUUCGUAACGGACAUUAUCAUUGCCCGUUACGAAUAACUACUUAUUCGUAAUGGGCACUUACAAUGUCCGUUACAAAUACGUACUUAUUCGUAACGGGCGUUUCAAGUGCCCGUAACGAAUAAUGGGUUAUUUGUAACGGGCGUUACAGGUGCCCGUUACGAAUAAUGGGUUAUUCGUAACGGGCGUUUCAGGUGCUCGUUACGAAUAAGUAGUUAUUCGUAACGGACGGUUCCUGUUACGAAUAAUAAUGGCCAUCCGUAACGGCCGCAUACGUAACGGACGCUGCCCAUUACGGAUGGGCCCUUUUUUCCCGUUACGAAUGGCCUUUUUUCCACUAGUGACAUAAUAUUGAGAAGGAUGAACAGAAGAAGGGUGAAAAAGAUAAGAAAGAGAUGAAGAAAGGAGUUGCUGGUGAGAAGAAAACCAAAGGAGUUGUUGUUGAGAAGAAAACCAUUGGUUAUACAAGAAAAAAAAAGAGUUGGUAAUGAAGUUUCUAAUGGGGAAGGGAAGAAAAAAGGAGAGAAAGAUGCUUUUCAUGUGGAUGGGACAAAUGAAAGAGAGAAAGUAUUUGAAAAGAAAAAAAGAGAAGGAAAAAUUGCUGAAGUUUCAGAAGAAAAAAAAGAAACAGGAGUGUGUGAAGUGACAGCUUUGCUUGAAGUGGCAAUGAAUGUAGUUUCUUCUAGAAGGUUUGUUACUUUUGAUCUUCCCGAAGAAAUUCAAUCUAAUGAGGAGAUCAAUCAAGUUGCCAAGAAUGUAAGUAUAAUUUUGUAUUGGUCUUUUUUUUUUAUUAUUUAUGUUUCUUUUUUAUUUUUGUUUUGAUUUAUUUUAUCUGUUAUUAUAGGUUAAUUCUUUGUGUUGAUUGGGAUUACUUGCUUCUUUAUAAGGGAUUACUUGAAUUUAUAUUAAUUGGGGUUACUUAUUUUUUUCACUGGGGUUACUUGUUUUUUAGUUGGGGUUACUUGUUCUUAAUUAGGGGUGACUUUAAUUUAUUUUUGUUGGGGUUACUUUUUUUGUGUUCAUUUAGAUUACUUGUUUUUGUAUUAGGGGUUAAUGUAUUCUUUAUAUGUACUUUGUUGUGGUUACUUAUUUUUUUUUAGGGUUACUAGAAUUAGUUAAGGGAAUUAUUAAAUGGACUUUUAGAUGGAGUUUUACAUGGGUUAUUGAAAAGGUUAUUUGGUGUUUCUAGGGAUUACUUUAAUUUGUUUAUAUAUGUUAGGGGGUGAUAUUGUGGAUUUAUCUGUUAUUAUAGGUUACUUUUUUGUGUUGAUUGGGGUUACUUGCUUCUUUAUUAAGGGUUAUUUGAAUUUAUUUUUGUUGGGGUUACUUAUUUUUUUCAGGGGUUACUCUUGUUUGGUUUCACAGGGGUUUCUUGUUUAUUAGUUGGGGUUACUUUUUUCUUUUUAGGGGUUACUUGUAUUUAUUUUUGUUGGGGUUACUUAUGUUUUUCCAUGGGUAGUGUUUUUUUGGCAUUAUUCUUGUUUGUAUUCAUUAGGGUUACUUGUUUUUUAGUUAGGGUUACUUUUUUUUAUUAGGGGUUACUUGUUCUUAAUUUGGGGUGACUUUAAUUAUUUUUGUUGGGGUUUCAUUUUUUUCUGGGGGUUACUUUUUUUCUGUUCAUUGGGGUUACUUUUGUUGUGUUUACUGGGGUUACUUGCUUAGGGGUUAAUGUACUCUUUAUGUGUAUUUUGUUUGGGUUACUUAUUUGUUUGUUGAUUGUUACUAGAAGAAUUAGUUAAGGGGAUUAUUAGAUGGAUUUUUAGAGGGGUUACUAAAAAUGUUACUUGGUGUUUCAAGGUUUAUUUUAAUAUGUUUAUAUAUGUUAGGGGUUUUUUUUAGAGUUUCUUAAUUCUUUAUUUUUUGUUAAUUUAUCUCUUGUUUUUAUAUAGGAUGUUGAGGAAAACUAUAUGCUGUUGAAGAGGGAUAUUAAUUACUUUGUUAUCAAUUUGACCAACGUAUUGAUUCGAUUAAGGUUCAAUCAGCAGCUGUAGAAGAAGAUUCUAAGUUGCCUAAAAAGGAGAGAUCACCUGAGCUUUCUCAGUUGGAUCCAAUAUUUAAUGACCAGUCAUUUUGGGCACAGAUUGACAUGAUUGUUAAUCAAACUGCUCUAAUGAAGAAAUUUGAAGAGGACUUGCCUUCAUUUCAACUUUUUUCAAAUAAAAGUCCUGAUUUGUCAAUUGAAACUUCGCCAAAUGUAAAUAAAGAUAUUUUUGCUCAAGUGUCUGAGAAAAUACCACCAUAAAUUGAUUCUCCUGUUUUGGAAGAUGUGGCAUGUGGAUUUGUUAAUGAUGCACUGAGGUUGACAAAUGUAGAGCAAACUUCUGAAGUAGAUGGAUCUUCUAGAGCAGUUGUAGAAGAAGAUCAACCUUUUGAAGCUGAAAUUCAGAAAGGUCAUAUAUCUGAAGCUAGAGUUGAGGGAGAUCAUUCUUCUGAAAUUGGGGUUGAAGGAGAUCAUUCUUGUGAAUCUUCUGUGCCUGAUAUUCAGUCUACUGAAGUUGGAAUUGAAGAUAUACAGCUUGACAAUGCUCGAGAUCUUGAAAUGGAAGAGGCUUCUGUUGUUGAAAAGACUAACACAGUUGAAAUAGGUUUACCUUCAUUUGACCUUUUUUCGUAUACAAAUCCUAAUCUUUCAACUCCAAUUUUAACUCCUUAAAUCUUCCUCUAGUUUCAGAUCCAAUUACACCACAAAUUGAUUCUCAAAAUGUGGAAGAUUUUUCAUGUGCUGUUAUUAAUGAUGUGGUGAAGGGUAUAAAUGAUGAGCAUUGCUCAAAAGAUAUGGUAUUUGAAGAAACUGAAUUUCAGAAUGUUCAUAGCAAUGAUUCUAAAGUUGGAAUUCAGAACAUUCAGAUUGUGAAAGCUGAUGAUUUUAAUAUGGAAGAAGUCACAACCAACAUAGAAGAAAAGAAACAGUUGUCUGAAGCAUGCAUUGGUACUGAAACUUUUAACAAUUCAGAAAUUCAGCUUUCUCAAAUUGAGACUGAAAAUUAUCAAGUCAAAGUUGUUCCUGAAAUUGUGAAUAUUGUAGAUUCACAAAAUGAAAAUAAAGGUUCUCAAAUGGUACCGAUUCCUGAGAUGGAAGUACAUGUACUGUAGUUGAGAAUAUUAUAGAUUCUCAGAUGGGAGAUGCUGUGAUGGAUACGACAGGUGAUUCUUUGGGUUCAAAGCAGAAUGAAAAAAUAGAGAAUGCAGGUGGUAGUCAAGUACAGGAAAUUUUAAAUAUAGAUGAUUCUGAAAUGGUUCCUGCAUUGGCUGCUGUUCCUGUUGCUGCAUCUGUCCCUGUCUCUGAUACAGCUACUAAGUCAAAGCAGAAAGGCUCAAAAACCCAAGAGUCUAAAAAAAAGAAAUCAAAUGCUUCAGGUAGUGCUAAGGCCUAAGAAUAACAGGGAAAAAAUAUAUGCAAUGAAGGAGUUGAGGCUUAAAGUUGCUAACUAUUGCUUUGUGGAAAAUUAUUCGGGAGUGAAAUCAACGGAGGUUAUAGUCAGUUAUUCUGAUAUAUAUCAAUUGCCUUGUGAAGAAUUUCAAACAUUGAUCCCAGGACAGUUAAUAUCAUGUCGUGUUAUGGACUGUUUCUAUAUUCAUUUGAAUUGGGAGGAGGUUUUGGCAGGAUUUACAUAUAAUAGAGUUUUUUUUGGAGGUGAACAUAUGGUAAUUAUGAAGGAUUCUUUAUUCUAAUAAUUUAACAGAAAUUAUAGUAUAUCAUCCAUUUAUUUUUGGUUUUUUGUUGUAUGUAGUGGCCUGUUUUGCAGUGUGUUAUGGCUGGAGAUGGUUGUAUUUAUGAGAGAGAUGUAUAUGGUUCAUGGGAUGAAUGGUUUGAAUGUUAGAUGUACUGAUUUUUUGACUGCUAUGCUGGUAUAAUACUAAUCCUUAUCAAAAUUUUCUGGUAUUUAAAGUGAAUGAAUUUAGUAUGACAAGUUGGUAUAACAUCAUAUCUUUUAUUCCUGUUUUGCAAGUCUUUAUGCCAAUUUGUUAUGACAACCAUUUUGCUGUUGCUGUGGUGAACUUUAUGGAUCAAACGAUUGAUUAUCUGGACAACAGAAAGUAUUCAAUCUAUGAUGAGAUUUUAAAGAAAAAUACAACAAAUUUCGAUGGAUUGCAUACUAUGUAUUAUAGUAUAAUAUAUCGUUUGAUAAGGUUUUUUAUAGUAUUUGUUUAGAUUAUAUAUUUUUUUUAGAGUUUAGUUUAUUUGUUUGUGGUUUAGGAGAUACUUAUGUUGUUAUUAGGAGUGUUUCUUAGCCUGUUACUUUGUCCCAAUAUACUUUCACCUGACAGUUAUUAGGUGGUUACUUUGGUGGUUACUUAGGGGGUUAUUAAGGGGUUACUUUGUCAUAAAUACUCUUUCAUCUAACAAUUAUUAUGGGGUUACUUUGGGGGUCACAUAGGAGGUUAUUAAAAGGGUUCAUUUACUUUUUUUUUGUUUGGCUUACUUUUUUUUUUUACCUUGCGGUUACUAUAUUAUUUUUUUUUGUUGGAAUUACUUAGGGGGUUACUUCACCUUAUUUGUGUUUGGGUUACUUCUUUUUUUUUUUUUUUUACAUUGUGGUUAUUUACAUUGUGAUUACUUUAUUUAUUUUAAUUUUUAUUUGGGUUACUUCUUUUUUUUUUUUUACAUUGUGGUUACUUUAUUUUCUUUUUUGUCUUGGGGAUACUUUACUUCAUUUGUGUUUGGGUUACUUCUUUUUUUUUAAAAAAAGUUUGGUUACUUUACUUGGUUUUUUUUUUCUUGGGGUUACUUAGGGGAUUACUUUGUGACUUAGGAGUUACUUAAGUGAGUGGGAUUACUUAAGGGGAUAUUUUGUCAAAUUUAUUGUUACAUUUGACAGUGUUAGGGGAUUACUUUGUCACUUAUACUCUUACACAAGAUAGUAUUAGGGGGGUUACUUAGGGGGUUACUUUGUCCUAAUACUGUCAUAGAUGAUAAUUUAUUUUGACAAACAUUUAAUAUUUGAUACAAAUAUUAUUAUUUCAGAUACCAAACAUAUUUAUUACAAACUUAAUGUUAAUACAAAAACUUAUACAUUAAUACCGUUUUCUGCUUCAGUAGGAAGCCUUUCAAUUCCAUCACCAUUAAAAACUCUAAUGUAAAAAUUUACAUCUUUGUCAAAAUAAAUAUCCAGUCUUUCUCCAUGAACAAUGUUGUUGGAGAUUACAAAGUUUGCCCAUUGUUCAUCAACAAAACAACCACCACAACUUCUGGUAUCUUCUGGUACGCUUACCACUCUUACUUCCCAAAAUAUGUAUUAUUCCCACGGUGAAUUUUAGCUGGAUACUUGAAUUUUAAAAGAAAGUGUUUCCAUUCUGCAGGAAGUGGCUGAAAUAAAAAAGAAAGAAAGAAAAGAUUAACUUUUUACUAAAAUAGAAAAGAAAUGUAUAAAUAUAAAACUUAAUGCAAAAUGUAUUUACCAGACUAUUCCGAUAAUAUGUUCUGAAAUUAACAGAACAUUUUUCCAUAUUUGCAUAGAAAUCAAUCAUUGUCUUCAAUAUUGAAUAGAAGAAGAAAAAUAUAAG